AGGAUUAGAUGCAGAGGACCAAGUAAGGCAAGGCCUUUUAAAGGUUAAUUUUGUGACUGAAAGCUGGUCUAAUGUUACUAAGAAACUGCAAAAGAUUGAUUGAUGGAAUGAAAAACCGAUUAAGAAUUACUGAGGGAAGCCCAAAAGGUUUUUGUAAGAAGAAAGAAAAGAGAAACUGAGAAAGAAAGAAAAAGAAAAAGUAAAAAAGGAAAUUGGAAAGAGAAAGAGGAGGAAACGGCAAACACAGAGGACAGAGAGAGAAAGAGGUAAGCUGCUGAUCCUGAAAGCAGCGGAGAGCUGGCCAUGCAGCUGCAGGCAUGGGGCUGGCAGAAGCUGCAGAGCUGGACCAGACAGUUGAGAUAAAAGUGGACAGUGUGAGAAAGCUGUUAAUAAAAGCUGCUGCUGAACCUUUGUCAUUUCGGCAGAGCUGUCUGUCUUUGCAGACAGAUGGGAGGAGCCAGGUGCCCAGAGACAAAAAGAGGAAGAAACUAACUAAGGGAGAAAGAAAACAGGGGUUGACAGAGAGAGAUAGAAAAAGAAAAUGAGCAAGAGAGAGACUGGGAAAGACAGAGAUCAAAGAGAGACACAGAAGGUGAGACUGGGGAGAGAGAUAAUGUAAAAGGAAGAAAGAGUACAAGAGGAAGUGAGAGGAUGCAGAGAGGCUGGCAGGGCUGAGAAAAGGAUCUAGAGGCUCAAGCAACAAGGAGGUGCAGGGAAAGGGUGGAGCAUGGCCACUGAGGAGAGACAGAGCCAGAGAACUGGAGGAUGCAAGUGAGAAAGGGAUGUGGAGGAGAGUGUAGAAUCAGGCUGCUUGAGGAAUAGUAGGCUGCCUACAGCAAAGACUAGAUGGCUGUAUGUCAGGAGGUAAAUAGAGAGGAUUCAGGUUAUGAAAGGGUAAACCGAUAAGAUGACCGUUAAGGUUUUGUUGUUUUACUGAGAGGCUGUAAAUCCACCAGGGGAAGCUGUCACUAAGGCUGCAGAGGGGCUGGAGAGCUACACAGGGAAGAUCAGAACUACUGUUGUAAACAAUGCCGCUGGGUUAGGGUCUCCCCGACUGAGCUGGUAUCAGCAAAUGGCAUCCAUCAUGGGGACUCAAAUCCAGGUCAAAGGUUUGCCAGAGGGAUGGUUGGAGAACAUGGAACUAGCUAGAGGACACCUGAGUACUCUUAAAGCAAUCCCUGUGGCCAAAAUCAACAGCCAAUUUGGAUACCAUCAAGACAAAUGAAACCUUAUCAUGAGCCAGAUUCUGGGAGGAUCCCGAGGACCCCUCAGUUGAAGCCAUGUCAAGACUGACGUUGAGGAAGACCCCAGCUUUCACGAGCAACACCCGUUUAACACAGCCACCCACCUGGGGAGAGAUCACGAAGCUGUCACAGAUUGUGGAAGAAAACCUGAGAAAAGCAGGACAACCAGUCACAAUGAGUAAUUUAAUGGUAGCUAUGAUAGCAGUUAUCACCCUGCCAUGAGUAUUCCUUCAACAAGGGCUGACACAGAGAACAAUUAUACUUACUGGGCAUAUAUAUCAAUCCUGGAUGGUAAUAAUGCCUGAAUAUAAUCACUCUAUGACACAGUUACACAUGCUUUCUGAUCUCAGUAUUUACCCUAAUAAAUUUGUUCCUAUAAUUGAGGCAUACCACCUUAAAAAACCUAUUUGUAAACAAAAUAGAACCUGGCCAGAAAUAAUGAAUGUACUUGUUUAGGAAGAUUGCUUUACAGAACAGGCAGAGGGGCUGCAUAACGAUUCCUAUGGAAUCUUUAUUGAUUGGUCCCCUAAAGGGAUGUUUAACCUAAAUUGCACCUCUCAGUCUGCAUGCCAUGGCCACACUAUGCUCAGCUGAUCUAAACAAAAUGGUCAGAUGGUAGAAAUGAUAAGAAGUAUGGCAAAAGUUCCUAUUAUCUGAAACCAUGGCAGUAUAGUGGCACCUCAACCUCAAAUGAUAUGGCUUAUUGUAGGAGGUAAACAUGAAGGAUUUGUGGAAACUAUUAAUAGCUCUUAAUAAGAUCAAAAUUUGGGAAAGAAUAAAAAAGUAUCUAGAAGGACACACUACAAACUUGUUUUUGGAUAUGGCAAAAUUAGAAGAACAAAUAUUUAAAACAUCUCAAGCACACAUGGCCUUAAUGCCAGGAACUGGAGUGUUUAAAGGAGCUGCAGACAGAUUAGCAGCUAGUAACCCAUUAAAAUGGAUAAAAAUACUUGGAAGCUCUGUAAUUUCAAUGAUGAUUGUGCUUUUAAUCUGUGUUGUUUGUCUUUGUAUAGUCUGCAGAUGUGGAUCCUGACUCCUGUGAGAAGUAGCUCACCAUGACAAAGCUGCCUUUGCUUUUAUCGCUUUGCAAAUCAAAUAAGGGGGACAUGUAGGGAACAGGCCCCCCCCAAAAUCUGGCCAUAAACUGGCCACAAAACUGGCCAUAAACAAAAUCUCUGCAGCACUGUAUCAUGUUCAUGAUGGCCAUAACGCCCACACUGGAAGGUUGUGGGUUUACCAGAAUGAGGUCAAGGAACACCUGGCCCGCCCAGGGUGGAAAACCUCUUAAAGGCAUUUUUAAGCCACAAACAAAAGCAUGAGUGAUCUGUGCCUUAAGGACAUGCUUCUAUUGCAGUUAACUAGCCCAACCUAUUACUUUAAUUUGGCCCAUCCCUUCGUUUCCCAUAAGGGAUACUUUUAGUUAAUUUAAUAUCUAUAGAAACAAUGCUAAUGACUAGCUUGCUGUUAAUAAAUAUGUGGGCAAAUCUUUGUUCAGGGCUCUCAGCUCUGAAGGCUGUGAGGGCCCUGAUUUCCCACUUCACACCUC
rnacentral:lncRNA from 1 species